rnacentral:rRNA from 1 species
GACGAACGCUGGCGGCGCGCCUAACACAUGCAAGUCGAACGAGCGAGAGAGAGCUUGCUUUCUUGAGCGAGUGGCGAACGGGUGAGUAACGCGUGAGGAACCUGCCUCAAAGAGGGGGACAACAGUUGGAAACGACUGCUAAUACCGCAUAAGCCCACGGUGCCGCAUGGCACAGAGGGAAAAGGAGCAAUCCGCUUUGAGAUGGCCUCGCGUCCGAUUAGCUAGUUGGUGAGGUAACGGCCCACCAAGGCGACGAUCGGUAGCCGGACUGAGAGGUUGAACCGCCACAUUGGGACUGAGGCACGGCCCAGACUCCUACGGGAGGCAGCAGUGGGGAAUAUUGCACAAUGGGGGAAACCCUGAUGCAGCGACGCCGCGUGGAGGAAGAAGGUCUUCGGAUUGUAAACUCCUGUUGUUGGGGAAGAUAAUGACGGUACCCAACAAGGAAGAGACGGCUAACUACGUG